UACGUAGGGUGCAAGCGUUGUCCGGAAUUAUUGGGCGUAAAGAGCUCGUAGGCGGCUCGUUGCGUCGGCUGUGAAAACCCGCAGCUCAACUGUGGGCCUGCAGCCGAUACGGGCGGGCUGGAGUUCGGUAGGGGAGACUGGAAUUCCUGGUGUAGCGGUGAAAUGCGCAGAUAUCAGGAGGAACACCGGUGGCGAAGGCGGCUCUCUGGAACGGUACUGACGCUGAGACGCGAAAGCGUGGGGAGCGAACAGG
rnacentral:rRNA from 1 species